rnacentral:rRNA from 1 species
GAGCGGCGAACGGGUGAGGAAUCCAUCGGAACGUACCCCCGGAGUGGGGGAUAACGCCGCGAAAGCGGCGCUAAUACCGCAUAUGCUUGAGGAGGAAAGUGGGGGACCUGCAAGGGCCUCACGCUCUGGGCGCGGCCGAUGUCCGAUUAGCUAGUUGGUGAGGUAAUGGCUCACCAAGGCGACGAUCGGUAGCUGGUCUGAGAGGAUGAUCAGCCACACUGGGACUGAGACACGGCCCAGACUCCUACGGGAGGCAGCAGUGGGGAAUUUUGGACAAUGGGGGCAACCCUGAUCCAGCCAUGCCGCGUGCGGGAAGAAGGCCUUCGGGUUGUAAACCGCUUUUAGUCGGGAAGAAAAGGUUGUUCCUAAUAGGGGCGACUCUUGACGGUACCGGCGGAAUAAGCACCGGCUAACUACGUGCCAGCAGCCGCGGUAAUACGUAGGGUGCGAGCGUUAAUCGGAAUUACUGGGCGUAAAGCGUGCGUAGGCGGUUCGUUAAGUUCGUUGUGAAAGCCCCGGGCUCAACCUGGGAAUGGCAAUGGAAACUGGCGGGCUUGAGUAUGGCAGAGGGGGGUGGAAUUCCGCGUGUAGCAGUGAAAUGCGUAGAGAUGCGGAGGAACACCGAUGGCGAAGGCAGCCCCCUGGGCCAAUAC